AAACUGUAUACACUACUGAUGAGCUCUGGCAAGAGCGAAACAGUUG
rnacentral:hammerhead_ribozyme from 13 species